UACGUAGGUGGCAAGCGUUGUCCGGAUUUAUUGGGCGUAAAGAGCGCGCAGGCGGUCGUUCAAGUCGCGUGUGAAAGCCCCCGGCUCAACUGGGGAGGGUCACGCGAUACUGAUCGACUCGAAGGCAGGAGAGGGUAGUGGAAUUCCCGGUGUAGUGGUGAAAUGCGUAGAUAUCGGGAGGAACACCAGUGGCGAAGGCGACUACCUGGCCUGUUCUUGACGCUGAGGCGCGAAAGCUAGGGGAGCAAACGGG
rnacentral:rRNA from 1 species